AUUGAACGCUGGCGGCAGGCCUAACACACGCAAGUCGAGCGGAUGAGUGGAGCUUGCUCCAUGAUUCAGCGGCGGACGGGUGAGUAAUGCCUAGGAAUCUGCCUGGUAGUGGGGGACAACGCUUCGAAAGGAACGCUAAUACCGCAUACGUCCUACGGGAGAAAGCAGGGGACCUUCGGGCCUUGCGCUAUCAGAUGAGCCUAGGUCGGAUUAGCUAGUAGGUGAGGUAAUGGCUCACCUAGGCGACGAUCCGUAACUGGUCUGAGAGGAUGAUCAGUCACACUGGAACUGAGACACGGUCCAGACUCCUACGGGAGGCAGCAGUGGGGAAUAUUGGACAAUGGGCGAAAGCCUGAUCCAGCCAUGCCGCGUGUGUGAAGAAGGUCUUCGGAUUGUAAAGCACUUUAAGUUGGGAGGAAGGGCAGUAAGUUAAUACCUUGCUGUUUUGACGUUACCAACAGAAUAAGCACCGGCUAACUUCGUGCCAGCAGCCGCAGUAACAC
rnacentral:rRNA from 1 species